rnacentral:rRNA from 1 species
GUCCACGCCGUAAACGAUGAUCACUAGACGUUAGUUUCGCUUUGCGGAAUUAGUGUCGUAGCUAACGCGUUAAGUGAUCCGCCUGGGGAGUACGGUCGCAAGACUAAAACUCAAAGGAAUUGACGGGGUCCGCACAAGCGGUGGAACAUGUGGUUUAAUUCGAUACUACGCGAGGAACCUUACCUAGGUUUGACAUGUAUGUGACAGUCGUAGAAACACGAUCUUUUGGAUUUCGGUUCAGACACAUACACAGGUGCUGCAUGGCUGUCGU